UACGAAGGGGGCUAGCGUUGCUCGGAAUCACUGGGCGUAAAGGGUGCGUAGGCGGGUCUUUAAGUCAGGGGUGAAAUCCUGGAGCUCAACUCCAGAACUGCCUUUGAUACUGAGGAUCUUGAGUACGGGAGAGGUGAGUGGAACUGCGAGUGUAGAGGUGAAAUGCGUAGAUAUCGAGAGGAACACCUGCGGCGAAGGCGGGUUGCUGGGCUGACACUGACGCUGAGGCGCGAAAGCGUGGGGAGCAAACAGG
rnacentral:rRNA from 1 species